CCUACGGGAGGCUGCAGUGGGGAAUAUUGGGCAAUGGGCGCAAGCCUGACCCAGCAACGCCGCGUGAAGGAAGAAGGCCUUCGGGUUGUAAACCUCUUUUCUCAGGGACGAAGAAAGUGACGGUACCUGAGGAAUCAGCCACGGCCAACUACGGGCCAGCAGCCGCGGUAAUACGUAGGUGGCAAGCGUUUUCCGGAUAUACUGGGUGGAAAGGGCGUGUAGGCGGGGAAGCAAGUCAGAUGUGAAAAACACGGGCUCAACCUGUGGCCUGCCUUUGAAACUGGUUUUCUUGAGUACAGGAGAGGCAGGCGGAAUUCCUAGUGUAGCGGUGAAAUGCGUAGAUAUUAGGAGGAACACCAGGGGCGAAGGCGGUCUGCUGGACAGCAACUGACGCUGAGGCGCGAAAGCGUGGGGAGCAAACAGGAUUAGAUACCCCUGUAGUC
rnacentral:rRNA from 1 species